GUUUUAUUGCCUGGGCCACAUUGACUGGGGAGGAAUCGUCUUGGGCUGCCAACGAAAUAUAUAAUGUAGCUCAUUUCUCUGUCUGUGACCACAAAGGCAUUCCAGUAAGGAAGAUGUUACCCUGGACUGUCCUUGACUUGGUGAGCGCCUGUUGCUUCCUCCUGCUCUCACUGAAUCGAGCUGAGACCUGGCACUGCACAUUAGCUGAAAGCCGUCCUUGUCUCCACCGCCUCAGCCACUCUCUCUUCUUAUACAGUCAACAUUACCUUGGUAACACAAACCUACCUGCAAUUUUCUCAUUACUACACACAUAUGGCAAAACCAAAAGUCAACAAUAUGGUGAGCUAUUCUGCAGGGGAUUUUUGGCAAACCCAAGCCUGGCGUGUGAUUAACAGCAAACCAUUUGAAAAGCAGUUCAACAUUUUGAGAAUAAUCACUUGCGCUGGCUUUUUUUUAUUGACUUGCAAAAUCAAACUACCUUAACUUGCCAAGAGUUCAGUCCUCCAGACACAAAGUAAGGGGAAUGCAUUUUAGAAACC
rnacentral:lncRNA from 1 species